rnacentral:lncRNA from 1 species
GUACAUAAUAAAAGCAUUGACAUUUUUAAUGUUUUGUAUGGAAUAUCUCUAGGAUGAACUGGGAAGUCCACUGACUGCCUUCACUGCUGCCUUUGGCUUGGUUUUGUAAUUUUACAUCUUUGUCCUUACACCGGAGCCUGAUCCAGGAAACCAGGGAGUACUUCAGGUUCUUCCAUUGAAAUGCUUGAGGCUGGCAGAUGUGUUGACAAGUGACUGCCUGACCAGUGAGUUUGUCUCCCAGUUUGUAUUUGGGAAAGUUAGCUGAAUGCAAAAAGAAUCAAGAAACAGAGAAACAUUCCAUGGUCCUUAAAACCCAAAGGUUUUUGCUAAUUAAUGCCACCACUGUGGAAAUGGAAGCAGUUCUGCAAACAAGCUGCGACAAAUGGGAUUUUUAUUGCCAGUGGAAAAGCCCAGGGAAUAAUUAGCGCGUCCAUGGAGAUCUUUUGAUUACAGACAUCUGCAUUGGUAAUGUCCAGACGCAAAGAUCACCCAGGGAAAUGUUUUGGGAGUUUCACCUUAGGGCACAUUUAUUGUAUUGUCAGCUACACCCUUCAAAAUGCAGUCGGACAUAUGUGGGAAAAUAUUUUGUGAAAUGCUAGGCCAAGGAACCUGAUGUUGACUAAUCUGGUCUAGGGAAACUGGCUUUGCUUUCCAAAGCACUGUCCAGCUGCCAAGACUUGCAGAUGUAAUAUUUUGAUAUCUCAUUAAAGCUGAUUUCACAGAGAUAUUUCUCAGUGCUGCAUCUGAGUUGCUGUGAGUUGCCCGAGAUGCUUUUGCAGUUAUCACUGCCUUGCUGAAUAGGAUGAAGAGGAAACAACGAGACUGAUUAUUAAAAAGCCACAUGACUCCUUGAAAAUGAAACAUUGAAGAAAGAAUUCAUGUAAAGACAGGAUUUAUUAGUUCAGGUUUAAGGGUAACUUGAUUUGGGAUUUUCCUCUUGUCAAAGGGAUUCACGAUAUAAAUUAUGAAUCUACUUAUAGAAGUGGUAGAGGUUUUGCCUUUUUUGAAAAGGCAUGCUUUUAAACUGGCCAAUAAAAUAAUUAUUGCAGGCCUAUGAAGAAGAACU